CCUAGUUGACAGUAUCCCAACUUAUUAAGAGUUCUAUUUCACACUUUGUUUCUACAUUAAAAAAUUUCAUCAUGAAGCUAGGAAUCAUUCUUCUAAUGGUUGGGGCUUUGUUUAUUCUCUUCAACGUCACAUACGGAUUCGAAUUUUGUCCAAAGUCUUUUAACUACGCUGGGAAAUGUAGCAAUUCUCGCAAUUGUGGUUUAGACGUAAAUGCGGAAUUAGGAGCAAGUGCAAUGGUUCAAAAUUGUAUUUGUCAAGAUCUCGUUCCCACUCAGCAUCGUUGCACAUGUUGUGUUAGAUGUUCUGUAACAGAUAAGAAGACUGUUUUUCGUGGAACCCGUUUUAUCAAUGAACAACUUCAAUGUAAAAAAAUCUAAAAUUUUAUGGAAUUGAAUAAUGUCACCGCAUAAUAUUAUUAUAAUA